AUUGAACGCUGGCGGCAUGCCUAACACGUGCAAGUCGAACGGCAGCACAGUCUAGCUUGCUAGACGGGUGGCGAGUGGCGAACGGGUGAGUAACGCGUAGGAAUAUGGCUUAAAGAGUGGGACAACUGGGGGAAACUCAAGCUAAUACCGCAUAAGCUCUUAGGAGGAAAGCUGGGGACCUUCGGGCCUGGCGCUUUCAGAUUAGCCUGCGUGCGAUUAGCUAGUUGGUAGGGUAAGGGCCUACCAAGGCGACGAUCGGUAGCUGGUCUGAGAGGAUGACCAGCCACACUGGGACUGAGACACGGCCCAGACUCCUACGGGAGGCAGCAGUGGGGAAUAUUGGACAAUGGGGGCAACCCUGAUCCAGCAAUGCCGCGUGUGUGAAGAAGGCCUGAGGGUUGUAAAGCACUUUCAGUGGGGAGGAGAGAUGUCAGGUUAAGAGCUGGACAUUGAGACGUUACCCACAGAAGAAGCACCGGCUAACUCCGUGCCAGCAGCCGCCGUAA
rnacentral:rRNA from 1 species